AGUGAACGCUGGCGGCGUGCUUAACACAUGCAAGUCGAACGGAGUAUUUAUUUAUAAAUACUUAGUGGCGAACGGGUGAGUAACGCGUAGACAACCUACCCUCUAGAUGGGGACAACACCGCGAAAGUGGUGCUAAUACCGAAUGUUGUAAUGUUGUUGCAUAAUGAUAUUACUAAAGGUGGCCUCUAUAUAUAAGCUACCGCUAGAAGAUGGGUAUGCGUCUGAUUAGCUAGUUGGUGAGAUAACAGCUCACCAAGGCAAUGAUCAGGAGCCGGUCUGAGAGGAUGAACGGCCACACUGGGACUGAGACACGGCCCAGACUCCCACGGGAGGCAGCAGUGGGGAAUCUUCCGCAAUGGACGAAAGUCUGACGGAGCAACGCCGCGUGAGUGAAGAAGGUUUUCGGAUCGUAAAGCUCUGUCUUCAAGGACGAAUGUAGAUAUUGUGAAUAAUGAUAUUUAAUGACGGUACUUGAGGAGGAAGCCACGGCUAAAUACGUGCCAGCCGCCGCGGUAA
rnacentral:rRNA from 1 species